rnacentral:rRNA from 1 species
UGGGGAAUAUUGCACAAUGGGCGCAAGCCUGAUGCAGCCAUGCCGCGUGUGUGAAGAAGGCCUUCGGGUUGUAAAGCACUUUCAGCGGGGAGGAAGGCGUUAAGGUUAAUAACCUUGGCGAUUGACGUUACCCGCAGAAGAAGCACCGGCUAACUCCGUGCCAGCAGCCGCGGUAAUACGGAGGGUGCAAGCGUUAAUCGGAAUUACUGGGCGUAAAGCGCACGCAGGCGGUCUGACAAGUCGGAUGUGAAAUCCCCGGGCUCAACCUGGGAACUGCAUUCGAAACUGGCAGGCUAGAGUCUUGUAGAGGGGGGUAGAAUUCCAGGUGUAGCGGUGAAAUGCGUAGAGAUCUGGAGGAAUACCGGUGGCGAAGGCGGCCCCCUGGACGAAGACUGACGCUCAGGUGCGAAAGCGUGGGGAGCAAACAGG